AGUGGUGAUUCUCUUUAUUUAGCAGUGGGAGACAAACUGGCCCUUUCCAACCCCAGCAUAGCGUCCCUUGUCCCCCCCGCGGCCCCCGCUCCCCUAAAGAUUGUUUGUGAGCCCUUUUGGGACAAUGAGCUUUACUUACUUAUUGAUUUAUUUGUAAACUGCUUUGGGAAUUUUAGUUGAAAAGUGGUAUCUAAAUGUUUGUUGUAUUCAUAAGAGGCUUCUUGGCAAGUCCUGCUGGUAUCUCCUAGCCCAGAAAUGGUAGCUUCACACUGACACCACACUUCCUCCUCCUCCUCUCCCUCUUGCUAUUUUAAAAAGCAGGAAAAGAGGAGAAGAUGAAUUAUGAAGGAGAGGAGAGUGUAGGCUAGAAUGUGGAGAUGCUGUGGUCCCCACUCCCCAUUUCUACUUCUGGCCUCUUCCCUUUUUACAAUAGUGCAUGAUAAAGAGGUGGGGCAGAGUCAGCCAUCACAUAAGAAAGAGAGUGAGGAAGAGAAGGUCGCGCUGCUGGGAUGCUGCCAGGUGAUGUUAUAACAUAACUUUAAAGCCGUAAACAGUUUGGGCCCUGGAUACCUGAAGGACCACCUGCUCCCAAGGGAUUCUGCCUGCCCAACAAAACUAUCAACAGAGCCUUAAUAUCAGAGGAUCCCUAUUUAAGAGAUUUAACUAAGGCCUCAAUCAAGAUGUUGGCAGAACUAAGCAUUGAACACAGAUGGCCUGAGUCCUACCCACCCAAAUUCUGUCUUUUGAAGACAAGGUUAACAUUUGUUUUCCACAACAUUUGUGACUAAAAAGUGUACCAGCUGAAGGGUUUGCUGCAAAUAAAUGGAAUGGAAAAUACCAAACAUCUGUUCAUUUAUUUUAAAUGUAUAAUUUAUUGUGCCAGUAAAAAUAAUAUUACACACAAAGUUUUCAAGUUUUUAAUAGUUAA